GACGAACGCUGGCGGCGUGCUUAACACAUGCAAGUCGAACGGAAAGGCCCUGCUUUUGUGGGGUGCUCGAGUGGCGAACGGGUGAGUAACACGUGAGUAACCUGCCCUUGAUUUUGGGAUAACUUCAGGAAACUGGGGCUAAUACCGGAUAGGAGCUCCUGCUGCAUGGUGGGGGUUGGAAAGUUUCGGCGGUUGGGGAUGGACUCGCGGCUUAUCAGCUUGUUGGUGGGGUAGUGGCUUACCAAGGCUUUGACGGGUAGCCGGCCUGAGAGGGUGACCGGCCACAUUGGGCCUGAGAGACGGCCCAGACUCCUACGUGAGACAGCAGUGGGGAAUAUUGCACAAUGGGCGGAAGCCUGAUGCAGCAACGCCGCGUGCGGGAUGACGGCCUUCGGGUUAUAAACCGCUUUCGCCUGUGACGAAGCGUGAGUGACGGUAAUGGGUAAAGAAGCACCGGCUAACUACGUG
rnacentral:rRNA from 1 species